AGAGUUUGAUCAUGGCUCAGAUUGAACGCUGGCGGCAGGCUUAACACAUGCAAGUCGAGCGGGGGAAGGUAGCAUGCUACUGGACCUAGCGGCGGACGGGUGAGUAAUGCUUAGGAAUCUGCCUAUUAGUGGGGGACAACAUCUCGAAAGGGAUGCUAAUACCGCAUACGUCCUACGGGAGAAAGCAGGGGAUCUUCGGACCUUGCGCUAAUAGAUGAGCCUAAGUCGGAUUAGCUAGUUGGUGGGGUAAAGGCCUACCAAGGCGACGAUCUGUAGCGGGUCUGAGAGGAUGAUCCGCCACACUGGGACUGAGACACGGCCCAGACUCCUACGGGAGGCAGCAGUGGGGAAUAUUGGACAAUGGGGGGAACCCUGAUCCAGCCAUGCCGCGUGUGUGAAGAAGGCCUUAUGGUUGUAAAGCACUUUAAGCGAGGAGGAGGCUACUUUAGUUAAUACCUAGAGAUAGUGGACGUUACUCGCAGAAUAAGCACCGGCUAACUCUGUGCCAGCAGCCGCGGUAAUACAGAGGGUGCGAGCGUUAAUCGGAUUUACUGGGCGUAAAGCGUGCGUAGGCGGCUUAUUAAGUCGGAUGUGAAAUCCCCGAGCUUAACUUGGGAAUUGCAUUCGAUACUGGUGAGCUAGAGUAUGGGAGAGGAUGGUAGAAUUCCAGGUGUAGCGGUGAAAUGCGUAGAGAUCUGGAGGAAUACCGAUGGCGAAGGCAGCCAUCUGGCCUAAUACUGACGCUGAGGUACGAAAGCAUGGGGAGCAAACAGGAUUAGAUACCCUGGUAGUCCAUGCCGUAAACGAUGUCUACUAGCCGUUGGGGCCUUUGAGGCUUUAGUGGCGCAGCUAACGCGAUAAGUAGACCGCCUGGGGAGUACGGUCGCAAGACUAAAACUCAAAUGAAUUGACGGGGGCCCGCACAAGCGGUGGAGCAUGUGGUUUAAUUCGAUGCAACGCGAAGAACCUUACCUGGCCUUGACAUACUAGAAACUUUCCAGAGAUGGAUUGGUGCCUUCGGGAAUCUAGAUACAGGUGCUGCAUGGCUGUCGUCAGCUCGUGUCGUGAGAUGUUGGGUUAAGUCCCGCAACGAGCGCAACCCUUUUCCUUACUUGCCAGCAUUUCGGAUGGGAACUUUAAGGAUACUGCCAGUGACAAACUGGAGGAAGGCGGGGACGACGUCAAGUCAUCAUGGCCCUUACGGCCAGGGCUACACACGUGCUACAAUG
rnacentral:rRNA from 1 species